rnacentral:rRNA from 1 species
GAUGAACGCUGGCGGCGUGCCUAAUACAUGCAAGUCGAGCGAACGGACGAGAAGCUUGCUUCUCUGAUGUUAGCGGCGGACGGGUGAGUAACACGUGGAUAACCUACCUAUAAGACUGGGAUAACUUCGGGAAACCGGAGCUAAUACCGGAUAAUAUUUUGAACCGCAUGGUUCAAAAGUGAAAGACGGUCUUGCUGUCACUUAUAGAUGGAUCCGCGCUGCAUUAGCUAGUUGGUAAGGUAACGGCUUACCAAGGCAACGAUGCAUAGCCGACCUGAGAGGGUGAUCGGCCACACUGGAACUGAGACACGGUCCAGACUCCUACGGGAGGCAGCAGUAGGGAAUCUUCCGCAAUGGGCGAAAGCCUGACGGAGCAACGCCGCGUGAGUGAUGAAGGUCUUCGGAUCGUAAAACUCUGUUAUUAGGGAAGAACAUAUGUGUAAGUAACUGUGCACAUCUUGACGGUACCUAAUCAGAAAGCCACGGCUAACUACGUGCCAGCAGCCGCGGUAAUACGUAGGUGGCAAGCGUUAUCCGGAAUUAUUGGGCGUAAAGCGCGCGUAGGCGGUUUUUUAAGUCUGAUGUGAAAGCCCCACGGCUCAACCGUGGAGGGUCAUUGGAAACUGGAAAACUUGAGUGCAGAAGAGGAAAGUGGAAUUCCAUGUGUAGCGGUGAAAUGCGCAGAGAUAUGGAGGAACACCAGUGGCGAAGGCGACUUUCUGGUCUGUAACUGACGCUGAUGUGCGAAAGCGUGGGGAUCAAACAGGAUUAGAUACCCUGGUAGUCCACGCUGUAAACGAUGAGUGCUAAGUGUUAGGGGGUUUCCGCCCCUUAGUGCUGCAGCUAACGCAUUAAGCACUCCGCCUGGGGAGUACGACCGCAAGGUUGAAACUCAAAGGAAUUGACGGGGACCCGCACAAGCGGUGGAGCAUGUGGUUUAAUUCGAAGCAACGCGAAGAACCUUACCAAAUCUUGACAUCCUUUGACAACUCUAGAGAUAGAGCUUUCCCCUUCGGGGGACAAAGUGACAGGUGGUGCAUGGUUGUCGUCAGCUCGUGUCGUGAGAUGUUGGGUUAAGUCCCGCAACGAGCGCAACCCUUAAGCUUAGUUGCCAUCAUUAAGUUGGGCACUCUAAGUUGACUGCCGGUGACAAACCGGAGGAAGGUGGGGAUGACGUCAAAUCAUCAUGCCCCUUAUGGUUUGGGCUACACACGUGCUACAAUGGACAAUACAAAGGGCAGCGAAACCGCGAGGUCAAGCAAAUCCCAUAAAGUUGUUCUCAGUUCGGAUUGUAGUCUGCAACUCGACUACAUGAAGCUGGAAUCGCUAGUAAUCGUAGAUCAGCAUGCUACGGUGAAUACGUUCCCGGGUCU